CAGCCCGCCAUGCCUGAGCUUCCCCCCGACCCGCCUUGGGCUCCUGUGCGGCCGGAGCCCAUGUGAAGAGCACUCAGUAUGAUGACCGGAGACACAGCUGUUGGAGGAAAAAAGUUUAUGUCAAUUAAAAUCCUGAAUUUCUCUGAUCUGGAAAGAAAAACUGCUAUGAACUCUUUAGGUUUCAGAUAAUGAAUACAAGAGUAAACAGGAACCCUGACUUACAGCAUAGGACUACAGGACUGGGGAGAGAAUCAUGCUACAACUGCAGUCGAGGUAUGUGCGAAGCGCCAUCUGGCUUUGAACUUACUAAAGUGUUUGGAUUUUUGAACUGCACCUCUUCAAGAAUCUGUUUCCUCUUAAUUGGGAGUACCUAAGCCUAAGCCGUAUUAGCCAAUAGUUCGUAGUUAUGCUUUUCACAACUUUC
rnacentral:lncRNA from 1 species